GUGCAGGUGGUCCAUUAUUUAAAGUUUGGCAAAAACUGUGGAUGAAGUGGAGCUGUCAGUGGCCUGGAUCUGAGACUGCUGGAGGUCUACAAAGCAGCAACCAAAUCUGGAAAGAAGCAGCCACUCAAAGACAUUUUGGACUGCCUUGCAAAAGAUGACACGAAUGAAAGGAGAAGGGUUGCUGCUCUGCUUGGUUUGCCACGCUACAUAUCUGGGGAAGAUCCAUCAACUGUCAUCAGGAUGUGUGAUGCUCGUGCUGAUAUUCUGGAUGAUGCCAUGAAGGGGAUGCAGGUUGGUCUCCUGAUUGCCUGUGAAGGUAGUGAACUGGGGGCCAUCCCACACGAGGUCUUCGACGUGGCAGUUGUGGUGGAGGAGACCAUUGUGCUUCACAACAUUAAAGAUGUGACACUUGGCUUUGCUAUGCUUAUGGGUGUCAUCUACUGUAUCAAUCUCAAGUAUCCAAAUGACAUGAAGUAUUCGUUUGAGUUUCUUCAGAGAGUGGUGAUGAAGAUCAGACCAGACCAGGCCUCAGCUCGAGUACAUGGUUUGAGAAACAAAAUCUUGAGGUACAAACUGUAACAUUUGGUGUGUUUACAGUUUUGUUUUCUUAAAUAAGAGUUCCUGUAAGAAUUUGUUCAGUUUGUUCUAUGCACUAAAUGUUAAUACUAAUGGUUAUGCACUAAAACAUUUAGCAUUGUGCUGAAUUUGUGGAAAAACCUCUCAGGGUUUUUGUGAGUUUGUUAAAACACUGAUCGUUUUGCACUUUUUGGACUGUUUUUGAGAGAGCUAGCUAGUUGUAUUGACUUUGCACUGCCACUGUUCAACGUGGUUAGAAUGUUUUUUAAAAUAAUGGUCUGAUUUAAAUGGAGGACUGAAACUCACCAAUAAAAUACACUUAAAAUGCACCAAUUAAAUAAAUAAGAAAACUUCACCUCAUAUCUUAUAAUUUACCUUGAUAUUUUUCCAGCUUAGUUCCUACAAACAA